UACGUAGGUGGCAAGCGUUAUCCGGAAUUAUUGGGCGUAAAGAGCGCGCAGGUGGUUGAUUAAGUCUGAUGUGAAAGCCCACGGCUUAACCGUGGAGGGUCAUUGGAAACUGGUCGACUUGAGUGCAGAAGAGGGAAGUGGAAUUCCUUGUGUAGCGGUGAAAUGCGUAGAGAUAUGGAGGAACACCAGUGGCGAAGGCGGCUUCCUGGUCUGUAACUGACACUGAGGCGCGAAAGCGUGGGGAGCAAACAGGAUUAGAUACCCU
rnacentral:rRNA from 1 species